rnacentral:snRNA from 1 species
AUCGCUUCUCGGCCUUUUGGCUAAGAUCAAGUGUAGUAUCUGUUCUUAUCAGUUUAAUAUCUGAUACGCCCCCCUAUCUGGGGGCCAUAUAUUAAAUGGAUUUUUAGAACAGGGAGAUGGAAGAGCUUGCUCUGUCCACUCCACGCAUUGACCUGGUAUUGCAGUACCUCCAGGACCGGUGCACAAAAA